rnacentral:rRNA from 1 species
GAUUAACGCUAGCGGUGCGCCUAAUACAUGCAAGUCGAGCGGGGGUAAUUGGUGACACCCAGACAUCGCUAAUGAUGUUUGAGUGUUGCUGGUUACUCUAGCGGCGAACGGGUGAGUAACACGUCGGUCAUCUACCCUGGAGUGGGGGAUACCCAGCCGAAAGGUUGGUUAAUACCCCAUGGCCAUGAGGGGGCAUAUGCCAUUCUCAUGUAAAGCAGCAAUGCGCUUCAGGACGAGCCUGCGUUCCAUCAGGUAGUUGGCGGGAUAACAGCCCACCAAGCCUACGACGGAUAGCUGGUGUGAGAGCACGACCAGCCACAAUGGGGACUGAGACACGGCCCCAUACAUCUACGGAUGGCAGCAGUAAGGAAUCUUCCGCAAUGGAACGAAAGUCUGACGGAGCGACACCGCGUGAGGGAUGAAGGCUCGUCGGG